GGUGCAGGUGUGUUUUCCUAGCCCAUUCUCUGGUAGACACGGGUGGAUAGGGCACUUUGGGUUGUAACAUUCUGCCUCUGUAUGAGGCCCAUUCCCUGGUGGCCUGUCCUUCCUAUGCUGCCUCUGGCUGGAAGUGAUGGCUAGUAGCAAAACAGGAUAUUUGUCUUUAAGUUUGGACUAGAUAGUCAACAGAAGUGUAAGGAGAGGAACAGUUACAGCAUGAGCUAUGCCCACUGCCUGACACUGACAAGAUAGCCUUCUUCCUUUCCCUGCUCUCAGUCUCCCACCACAGUUCAGAAGCAGCUCACACAGUCCGUCAGUCCAGCAUCUGUUUCAGCACAGUUUGUCACAUAGGGACUGCACAUGGCUAUAGCGGCAGCAACUCCCUUUGACUGUUCAUUGUUGCUACCUUGUUCCUCUACAUUGAAACUUCUGCCUGAGGUGUCAAGCCAAAAGGACCCCCAAUCAGAGGGCUGAGUGUCAGAACCACGGUGGGGAGGCAUUUGGAAACACCCCUGAUCCAGGAAGCUUUCCCAGACUUCAGUCUCAAGGAGAGGCAGGCAACCCAGGAUCUCGUCCAUCCCAAGACUACAGAACUCUAGCAAACUGUACUGUUGCAUCUCAGAGUUGUGAAGACAAAUGGGAGACCCAAGCAGGUAACAUUUGAAGAAGGCAAAGAGUGGGUAGACACAUGUUCAGUGGAGAGGACUCCAUGAAGAACACAAGGUAACCUACCUGCUUCAGGACUCUUUUACCUUUCUUGGCGUGGGGAGUAGCUGGCAGCUUUCAUACUAAAACGUGGAUUUUGGCGGACUAAACCCAACGUGAUGGUGACACAUACUGGGGUCAAGAAGUACAUUGAAGGGGGUUGCAGUAAAUGGCUUGGGAAUGAAACUAUAGACCUCCUGGGGUAUAAGCAGCCCUGGUAAGGCAGCCCCUAGAAGAUUACAUUCCUCGGUGUGAGAAAAACAAAGCUUGCUUGUUCAGAAAUACUCUAUUUCCUCAUUUUCUUGCAGGGAAAAGAAAUUUGAAAACUAGCCAUCUGAGCGGAAUCCAGCCUCCUGACUGCCCUGGUUCUGGCUGCCCACAGUGAAUGUGGUCGCUGCAUCACUGGUCCAGGUC
rnacentral:lncRNA from 1 species